AUUUUUUUUAGUAAAAAUGUAUGCAUCUAACUUCCACUUUUUGAAAAUGCUUAAAUCCAGAUAUUGAUACCAAAUUGACUUACAUUUUCUGCUGACAAAUUAUGACAAACUAACUCUAGUACUAUAUAUAACGACCCAAUCCACAAGCACUCUAAACUCUAGACCCUAAAAUCUAAUUACUAUUACUAAAAUCUUUGAUCCUUAUAUUCACCCUUGCUAUUUUUUUUACCAUCCAAU
rnacentral:lncRNA from 1 species